AUUGAACGCUGGCGGCAGGCCUGACACAUGCAAGUCGAACGGCAGCGGGGGAUAGCUUGCUAUCCUGCCGGCGAGUGGCGGACGGGUGAGUAAUGCAUGGGGAGCUGCCCAGUCGAGGGGGAUAACAACUGGAAACGGUUGCUAAUACCGCAUACGCCCUAAGGGGGAAAGGUGGGGAACUUCGGUCCUACCGCGAUUGGAUGCGCCCAUGUGGGAUUAGCUAGUUGGUGAGGUAACGGCUCACCAAGGCGACGAUCUCUAGCUGGUCUGAGAGGAUGUCCAGCCACACUGGAACUGAGACACGGUCCGGACUCCUACGGGAGGCAGCAGUGGGGAAUAUUGCACAAUGGGGGAAACCCUGAUGCAGCCAUGCCGCGUGUGUGAAGAAGGCCUUCGGGUUGUAAAGCACUUUCAGUCAGGAGGAAGGGGUGAUGGCUAAUAUCCAUCAUCAUUGACGUUACUGACAGAAGAAGCACCGGCUAACUCCGUGCCAGCAGCCGCCGUAA
rnacentral:rRNA from 1 species